AUUUAUAUUUAUAUUUAUAUUUGUGUGUGUGCAUUUAUAUAUGCAUCGUAUUGAAUUUGUGCAAUAUUUGGAAUUUACGAGGCCACUGAAAAUGUUGCUAAUUUAUGACUGUCUCCUGGCCAGGACACCUCAAAGCCAAUAACAAAGUUGGUUAGUUAUAUAAGUGUGACUGUAUCAGCGUGCCCUCACUCUCUCUCUCACUCUCUCCUUUGCCUCUAUCUCUCGCUCUUUGUGUGUGGCUCGCUCUGCUUGCGGAUAUCCGCAUGCAAGCCAUAACUCAAUAAAGCAUUGUCCAGAGCCAAAGCCAUAGAAAGCGAGGCAUAAAACAAAGGCAAAGGCAAUCGCAAUGGACAAACGACCAAAACUAAAACCCAGCAACACCAGCAGUCAAAGAUACAAUCGAAAUGCAGUAGGGAGAGAGAUGGAGUGAAAGAGAGGGAGAGAGCUGAUGGGACGGUAGGUGUAGCGCAUAAAAAGGCAGACAGAUUAGAAGAAUAAACAAAGCCCAGGGCUUGACUGGGCGACCGAGCAAACCGGGCAACCGGGCGAAUGCUCGACUGCUCAACUGGAUGCUCACUGGCCUCCGACUGUCAUUGGGGCCAAGAAAUAAACAUUAACUGUAAUUUAGUAGGGCAUUGUGCUUAAGCGUCGACUCGAUUCGCCUCGCCUCGUCUCGCCUUGACUAGACUCGAGACUCGAGACUCGAGGAGACUCGACGCAUUCACUGCGCGCUCUCAAAUUAUGGUCCAUGGCUGGGGGAGGCGGGCGAACGGAGCCAGCAUCGCGUGUUGCCAGUCUCAUGUUACGAUAGGCGUUUCGUGCUGGUCAAAACGCUGCGGGAGUCCUCAAUGCGAAGGCAAUUGUUAUUUGCCUUUGCCGUUGCCUUUGCCUCUGCCUCUGCCUCUGCCUUUCCCUUCACGGGCAAGUGCACAGUUUUACACAGCAGCGGCCACCAAUUAGAUGGCAGCAGCUGGCCGCCAGAUACAGUUACAGCAACAGCUACACACACUCACACGUACACGCACACACACACACAUGCUAGAGAGGAAACUAACGCAAAUAGGCAAAUGGCAAACAUGGCACAAUAAUCGACAACAAUGGAAAUGUUGUUGGGCGCAGGCUUUAUGAAUAUUGCAAAGCUUUUAAAUCUGCUUAAAACGAACCCAACUGGAAAAAAGGUUUUUGCAUUUUCUUGAUUACCACUCAGUGGAGCCACAAAAACGAAAAGCGAAAAGAGAGUAGCAUAUUAAGUAUAUACAAAUGCAAAGUGCAAGUCAUGCCCAGUCAGCUCAGCUCAGUCUGCUCAGUCAGCUCAGUCAGCUCAGUCAGCUGCCCAGUUACUUAAAUAUUUAAUGCUCAAUCAUUGCAACAGAUUUCUGGGCAAUUAGCUGAAGUAAUUCUGUUAAAUCGGAAUGUUAUUGCGAGUCUAACAGCUGUUAACUCGCCCACCACAGCCAACAACAAGUGCAAAGGCCCGCCAAAACGAAGAAGAAGAAAGAAAAAAAACAAAACACAAAAAAAAAAAUUGCUCUUAAGUGCUAAGCAAACUGAAGCAAAGCAAACGCCCUCUGCGCAAACGUUACUCACCACACACACACACACACACACACACACAGGCAUACAUACAUAUAUAUAGAGAGGAGAGCACGUCUGCUUAGGUGCCUGGCCCCGAACCGCCAAUGGCCAUUACAUGGCUUUAUUUGGCUUAUAAAUUGUUAGACGCCGCGCAGCUCAUGAACUUUACUCAUAAUUCAACACCUAACAGCAACACCUACAACCCUCAGCAACAACUGAAAGCAGAGAGAGAGAAAAGUUAAAAUAAAAAAACCAGAACAACAGCAACUGGCACACACACACACAUACACAGAGAACAAUAUAAUAAUAAUAAUAAUAAUAAAAAAAAAAAAGUAUUUUUCAAAUUAAACUUUGCACUCUGACCACUUGAUGAUGCCACCAAGCGGGGCAACAACAACAGCAGCAGCAGCAGCAGAAACAACGCCUCCGGCUGCAGAAGGAAAACACGCGCAAAAGCUGUGCCUGAUAUCCACUCGACAGGCAGCAAGCAGCGCCCGCGUGCCCAAACUGUCUCCCCUUUGGGCUGGCCCUUUAUUGCAGCUAAACAAUUUUCAUAGCCUAUCAGCGAGCGGGCAGUGUGAGGCAUGGGGAGGGGGCAUGGGGACAGCGGCAAGUUGGCAACUUUUUCGAGUGCAGCAACAAAUUAAAUUUGCGCUGGUAAUUGGAUUUCAAAACACUUCUACGACGGCUGUGUUUAAUGCCGCCAACAGCCACAGAAGCUUUUGCACCCGCUACAUACACACAGACACAGACACACACACACACACACGCACAGAGAGACAUACUCGCAGAUUUGCCACGAGUUGGACAGACGUCGCCACGGCUGCCGCUGAUGUUGAGCUGUCAAAGGCUCGGGGCCAGCACUUUGCUUGCGGCCUGCACACGCCUGCCACGCCACGCCCCACGCCCCACACCCCACACCCCACACCCCAGCCCGACACCUCCCUCGCGCUGGCCGACAGAGCUUUGGCCUAGAAAUUGCGCACCGCAUCGGACGCGAGCGCUAACUGCCACCAAUUGCGUGUCCGUGGGGCAAUCCGAGGCGCAGCGCUGCCAGCGGCAUUCGGCUUCAUUUUUUAUUUUCCACAUUUCUCUUUCUUCUUUCUUGUUGUUGUAUGCUGCGCCUGGCAAAUUUACCGUGCGGCGUGCGGCGUGCGGCAAAGUAAACAAAAUGAACUGGCACACAAAAGGACCUCGAAUUGUAGCGCCCAACAGGACAGUUUAUAAUUAUGGCGCGCAAAUAAAUCUUGUCAUGUUAUCCUUGUUGUAGCUGCCGCUGCUUAUCCCUCUCCGACUCCUGCUGCCGCAGCUGCUGCUCCUGCCGCUGCUGCGAUUGUUGCAAAGCGACAGCGGAAAUGAAAGCGGACGCUGCCGCACCGGAAAUUAUAAAAAAUUGUUAAAUACCGAUUUCGAUUUUGCGAUUUUACUUUUUUUUUUUUUUUUUUUUUUUUGCGGUUACUGAUUUUGAUGGCUGCGCCAAACAAAUAUAUAAAUAAUACUUGGGGAAAGCUUUAUGCACUUUUUUCAGCUGCAAGUUUAUGAAAAUUCCUCAAUCGAACCACAGAAAUUGUCGAAAUGAGAAAUAUUUGUGUGCUUUUUGCAUCUCAUGCAAUAUAAAUAGCUCCGGCUGUGCGCUGCAAGGUUUAAUAACUUUUUAUUUGCUGGAGCUGCCUUUGUGGCAUCAACUUCAAUAUGAAUUGAUGCCUUUUGGGCCAAGUCAAAUUGUUCACAUUAAUUUGGGAAAUAUUCUCAUUUGCUAGAUCUAGCAUGAGAGCACAUAAUAAUAGUAAUAAUAAUAAUAGUUCCAUCUUUACCACUAUAAAAACUGAGCGCUCCAAUUACAUAGACAAUAUUUACAAAGGUUUUCGCUACGCACAGGAAAUUCAAUGCCAAAUCCGCAACGGCGAAAUCCAUUAAAUAAUCCACGUAAAUAAACUAAAACCAAAACGAAACGAAAUGACACGAAAAAGAAAUAAGGGAAUAGUCGUAGAGUAGGGGCAGUGGGGGCAGGGGGGGACGGGGUGGAGAGAGGCUGACUGAAGGCCAUUCCAAAAGGAGAAGAAAAACAAAAACAACAAGACAAACAAUUUUGGUAUAUAACAAAAAAAAAAAAAAAAAAAAAAACAGAAAAAAUUACAAACAGAGGAAAAAUUCAUUUUUCAAAUUCCAAUCACAGUUAUUAAAUCUUUGCUAUAUGGUUAUGGUUAUUGUUGUGAUUUGAUUUUAUGGUUAUAGAUGAGAGAGCCCAAGAGAGCGAGCGCGAGUGAGAGAGAGAGAGCGAUAGGCUAAGCUAAGCUGUUGUUGAUGUGACACAAGUAGCGAAGAGCGCAAAAGCUUUGAGCGCUCUCUUCUAUUCAAAGAGAAAGUGAGUCGCUCACUCUUUUUGUUAUUAUUGUUUGUUGUUGUUGUUGUAGCUGUAGUUGGUGUUGCCGAUGAUAUUUGCGCGCGCUAGAGCAGCAGCAGCACGAACAGCAGCAGCAGCAGCAUCAGUGGCAACAUUUUGUGUCAGGCUGCAAAAAAUGUGGGCCUAAAAUGCUCCACUGACGUCAUAAACGUGUCUUUUCUUAUCUGGCUGAGUAUCUACAAGCGAAAUGCGAUGGAUGAUGCCGCUGCCGAUGUCGUUGCCUUUGGCCUCUCUGUACAGUUAUUUUGCGUAUGCCUCUCCGUGCGCCUCUAUCUGUGUGUGUGUGAGUGUGUGUGUGUGUAUUACAAAUGUAAAUGUCGUUGGCAGGCAGCAGCUUACCAAUACAUAUACACACAUACGCACACACACACACACACACACACACACACAUACACUGGCACAUGUAUUUGCCUGUCACUGACGCAUAAAGGAAAAUAAUUAUAUUUAAAGGCAAUUUGGUGGCAGCCGCAGCCUUCUGCAGUGUCCUUGACCGACUUAUGUAGAUUUUCUGCAGCUUACUGCCUGCUUUCACAGUUUUCACACAUACAAUUUUCGCAGCUGCUGCUGAUGCUGCUGAUGCUGAUGCUGUUUGCCGUUUGCAUUGCCCUCCCCCUUCCCUCUCACUAUCCGCGCGGCUGCCUCCCUCUGGCAUCCUCGCUGCCUUUGCCCUUAGCUGCAUUUCCCACGUCAAGCCGUAAGCCUUGGAUAUGUAUGAAUAAUAUUCGCACUUGCCUCGCGCCCAUCUCAUUAACAUAUUUCGAGCUAUUUUCUUAUUGCAAGCAGAAAUAUUUAUGUGCUGUAAGUGAAACUGGGUGGCAAUGCUGCGUAUGUGUUAUAAUUCUCUUGUGUUUGCUAUGCGUGUGUGUGCGUGUGCGUGUACGUGUGUGUGGGCGUGGCACACCAUGUGACUUACUUGAGCGACUGACUGUGAUUACCUAUGCACAUUGUGGGGGCGUUGCCAAAAUUAAAAGGUGUUAACUUUAUGGGCCAUUUGUGGCCCGAAUGUUGUGAGUAAUUAAGGCGAUAUAAACAACUGCUUGGCUAUAUAAUGAAUAGCGUAUUUAAAACAGGAAUUGCUGUCAAGCUGCUCUUGAUUAUUGUUGUUGCCUUAAUAGACAGCAACUGUUGCCUUGGCUUUUAUGCCGCCACGCUUAAACACAAAAGUGUUGCCUACUUUUAUGGGCGCAAAUAGUUGCAUAUGCUCUGCAGGGCCAAUGUAAACAUUUUUAUACACUUAAUAACUUUGUGAAUGAGCAUGAAGCCAACUAAACGCUUGUCGAGCAGCUCAUUUGGCCGCCACGUGACUUGUUCCUAAAGUCGACCAAGUUGCAAGGACCACACAAACGCCACGCCGUGCACAACUAUUUUUUUAGCUGUGGCUGCUCUACAGUUCUAUUAGGUGGCCAUCGUCGCACUUUGCCCCGCCAAAAACUUGUAACGGAGACUAACAAAAUAAAUUAUGCUUACGAUUUGUAAAAGCUUUAAUACGCCCUAGAGCCAAAUCCUAAGUGCACACAGCAGCAGCAGCAACAGCAGCAACAGCAACAACAACAACAAAAGCAGAUGCUUCAGCUGCUGCUUCGGCAGCUUCUGUUGGCUGGCUCCAAAGACAACAAUGAAUAAAUUUAAUUUUAGCUGCGGCCGACCUACCGCACCAAAACCUCAGCUUGCUUGCUGCUGCUGCUUUUGCUGUUGCUUUUGCUGUUGUGGUUGUUGCUCAUGUUGACUAAACACCUUUGAGAUUUCCAGCUAUGCCUCGCCCUCUGACAGCUGUCAAGCGUGCUUUGGCUCCAUGCCACCCAAGUUCCAGCCACUCCCCUCGCCCUACGCUGCUGCCGUUGCGCUGCAUGCCCCCGAGAGCUGCCCGAGUGCAUUAUAACUGCAUUUUGGUUUUGAUGACGUCGACAACGUUGUCGUCGUCGUCGUCGUCGUUGUCGUCGUUGUUGUUGUCGUUGUCGUCGUCUGAUUUGUAAAUUAUGCUUGGGCACAAGACACACACACACACAGAGGCACACACACAUUCACCCAGAGACGCACGCACGCAGUGGCCCACUCACAGAGAUUUAUAAUGUGGCUAAACGGGCUGUUAACUAAAACAGCAUCCGCUCUCUUAAUCGCAGCUCAAUCAAAGAGCGCCAGAGCCGAAGCUUGAGGGCAGCUUUUCACCGCGCUCAUGUGACUGUCGCCAGCAGCUGAAGAGAGCGGCGGAUGCUACGAAAGCUUUUUGUGAUUCUGCUGAUUACGUAAAUAAAAGCGAAGCGAACGACAAUUUACGAAAUGUGGCGAAACUGUUAUAAACAAUUUGAGCAGCGGCCAACAGCCAACAGCCAAGAGCCAAGAGCAGCCGAGCCAGCGUCGACCCGCUUUCUUCUGUAUAUAAGCUUUAGCUGAUACACAUACGAAAUGGGGCGAGGAGUAGCAGCAGCAGCAGCGCCAGCAACAGCAACGGCAGCAGCAGCAGCCGCACAGCAACAACAAACCAUCUGACGAAAGCUAACGAGGCCUGCCUGACAGAGAGCCAAAGCGAGCCGAGAGUCAUGCUUGCAAAUGCAAGGCGAAUUAUCGCUCGGCUUUCGCCGCGCUGCGUUCGGGUUUUGGUCGUCGGCUCUGUGGGCAGCGUCAGCGUCGCUUAGUUGCUGCCUGCGCUGCGUGGUGAAAAUCAGUCACAACGGGAACGUCGUCGCGAGCUGUUUGCGCGCUUCAUGCACUUGCGUUUUUGUAGCGAGAGGCGAAACACAGAAAGCAAGCAAAUCUAGAGCCUGGUUCCAAAAUGAAGCCAACACUCGAAUAACGAAAAUAAAGCGUAGGAAAAUUACAGAAACCAAACAAUCGACAAGUCGACUAAAAUGAAAUCAAAUAAACCCUAAUCAAACGAAUGCAUUGAAAACAUGUCUCGGUGCGACUUGGUCGGCCAUCAAGUGCGAAAACUGAAAAGCUGAAGACGCAAAGCUUGAAGGCUGCCGCUCAGCAGAAAAGUAGG